rnacentral:misc_RNA from 1 species
GAUGAAGAACGCAGCGAAAUGCGAUAAGUAGUGUGAAUUGCAGAAUUCAGUGAAUCAUCGAAUCUUUGAACGCACAUUGCGCCCUUUGGUAUUCCUUAGGGCAUGCCUGUUCGAGCGUCAUUUAAACCUUCAAGCUAAGCUUGGUGUUGGGUGACUGUCCGCUUCACGGCGGACUCGCCUCAAAAUUAUUGGCGGCCGGUACAUUGGCUUCGAGCGCAGCAGAAACGCGAACUCGGGCCCGUCGUAUUGGCUCCCAGAAGCUAUCUUCACGAUUUUGACCUCGGAUCAGGUAGGGAUACCCGCUGAACUUAAGCAUAUCAAUAAGCGGAGGA